rnacentral:rRNA from 1 species
UACGUAGGGGGCAAGCGUUGUCCGGAAUCAUUGGGCGUAAAGCGCGUGUAGGCGGCCCGGUAAGUCCGCUGUGAAAGUCGGGGGCUCAACCCUCGAAUGCCGGUGGAUACUGUCGGGCUAGAGUGCGGGAGAGGCGAGUGGAAUUCCUGGUGUAGCGGUGAAAUGCGCAGAUAUCAGGAGGAACACCAGUGGCGAAGGCGGCUCACUGGCCCGGUACUGACGCUGAGGCGCGAAAGCGUGGGGAGCAAACAGG